rnacentral:rRNA from 1 species
AAACUUUCAACAACGGAUCUCUUGGUUCUGGCAUCGAUGAAGAACGCAGCGAAAUGCGAUAAGUAAUGUGAAUUGCAGAAUUCAGUGAAUCAUCGAAUCUUUGAACGNANAUUGCGCCCCUUGGUAUUCCGAGGGGCAUGCCUGUUCGAGCGUCAUUU